GGCGAACGGGUGAGUAACACGUGGGUGAUCUGCCCUGCACUCUGGGAUAAGCCUGGGAAACUGGGUCUAAUACCGGAUAGGACCAUGCUUUAGUGUGUGUGGUGGAAAGUUUUUCGGUGUAGGAUGAGCCCGCGGCCUAUCAGCUUGUUGGUGGGGUAAUGGCCUACCAAGGCGGCGACGGGUAGCCGGACUGAGAGGUUGGUCGGCCACAUCGGGACUGAGAUACGGCCCAG
rnacentral:rRNA from 1 species